rnacentral:rRNA from 1 species
ACGAACGCUGGCGGCGUGCUUAACACAUGCAAGUCGAACGGGUCUGCCCUGUUUUUUGCGGGGUGGGUCAGUGGCGAACGGGUGAGUAACACGUGAGUAACCUGCCCCUCACUUCUGGAUAACCGCUUGAAAGGGUGGCUAAUACGGGGUGUUCUGGCUGUGCCGCAUGGUGUGGCUGGGAAAGAUUCACUUUUGUGGUGUUUUGGUGGGGGAUGGGCUCGCGGCCUAUCAGCUUGUUGGUGGGGUGAUGGCCUGCCAAGGCUUUGACGGGUAGCCGGCCUGAGAGGGUGGGCGGUCACACUGGGACUGAGAUACGGCCCAGACUCCUGCGGGAGGCAGCAGUGGGGGGUAUUGCACAAUGGGCGGAAGCCUGAUGCAGCGACGUCGCGUGAGGGAUGGAGGCCUUCGGGUUGUGAACCUCUUUCGCCGGUGAAGAAGGUCCUGCUCUUUGUGGUGGGGUUGACGGUAGCUGGGUUAUGAAGCGCCGGCUAACUACGUG